rnacentral:rRNA from 1 species
AUUGAACGCUGGCGGCAGGCCUAACACAUGCAAGUCGAACGAGUGGCGGACGGGUGAGUAAUGUCUGGGAAACUGCCCGAUGGAGGGGGAUAACUACUGGAAACGGUAGCUAAUACCGCAUACCAUCGGUUGGGCCCAGAUGGGAUUAGCUAGUAGGUGGGGUAAAGGCUCACCUAGGCGACGCUCCCUAGCUGGCCUGAGAGGAUGAUCAGCCACACUGGAACUGAGACACGGUCCAGACUCCUACGGGAGGCAGCAGUGGGGAAUAUUGCACAAUGGGCGCAAGCCUGAUGCAGCCAUGCCGCGUGUAUGAAGAAGGCCUUCGGGUUGUAAAGUACUUUUAGCGAGGAGGCGUUACCUGCAGAAGAAGCAUCGGCUAACUACGUGCCAGCAGCCGCGGUAAUAC